GAGAGAGUUUAACAAUACAUUUGCUGAAUAAAGGACCAUUACCAGCAUACUAUGCAUCUAAUCAGCGAAAACGCAUGGUCUUUAAUAACUAAUAUUGUAUUAAGUUGUGUAAUCAUAAUCAAUUAAAAAUAUAGUUUUGUUCCAUGCAAUUGUAUGUGUGCCCAUCAAUUCUGUUUUGAGAUCACACACUUUCAGCUCACUUGGACACGUACUGGAAGCUCUGUGUGCGCCUACAUCUUAUAUAUCAUAUUCAUGUGCACUAGAUUGACCAAAAGCACAUGUGCAAACAUUUCUUCACGACAAAAAACAAUACCGUCAUAAAAAUAAAACUGCCUUGCGAAGCUUUCUCCAGUAACACAAAUUUUGAAGGACGUCCGUGAGCAAACUUCAGUCCUAAAAACACUUUCUGCAUCUGUAAGGUUUUUCUUUUAAAAAAAUCACCCUUUGAACAAUAUUUUAUCAUUCAUAUAUGUUGUGUUUAAAAUGGUUUUCAACCAGAUGUAAUGUAUAUUAAGCAUUAUAUCGGUAUAUUUUAAACAACGAUUAUUAACUGAAUACAUCUACUUGAAUUGUGAUAGACAUUGCACAAGUACACCCACUCUCACGUCAAACAUGGCCUUUGUAUUCAAUGUUACAGUAUGAAUUGAUGUGUGAUUAUACUGAUGUAAAUACUGAUGCAUUAUCUAUAAACAUGAGCAUGUAAAUAGUAAUCAUCUCGCUAUUAGAUGAUAAAUAGCACUCUGUCCAGGUCCAGUGUUUUUUAUCUCGUGGCCCCGACUUAUUAACUUGUGGCCACGAGUAAGCUAUGUCGUGGCCUCGAGUUACUGAUCGAGGCCACGACAUAGAAAAAAGAGGAGUGCAAAACUUAAUUAAAUAGAAUUGCAAUUAAAAAAGGGCGGUGCAGUAAAUAAAGAAAGGGUGCAUUGAACAAAAGAGGAGAUAAUUUAAUAGCUACGGAAACCCUGGAGGGACAUUUUUGUUACUUUUUAUGAGUUAUUUGUUAUUAGUUAUUACUUAUUAGUUAUUACUUAUUACUUAAUAGCUACGAGUUUAUACGCGCGAAAAAACAGAAGCAUGGAGAUGGAGGACAGCUCUAGUGACGGCGAUUCUACGGCUGACGAAUCUGCAAUAAUAACACAAAGAAUUGAAGAACUUGUUCACAAAAUAUAGUCAGGAAGGAUGAAUAUAAGCAAGGAAACCAAUAAGAAAAAGUCUACACCAGUUCCUAAGGUUUCAUAACCAGCCAGAAGAAACAAGAUAUUAGUCAAGGCAAAAUGGGAAGUGGAAAACACACUAUAUACAAAUUAUACAUUGGAUGGCAGGCACUUUUCAAAUGAAAAAUAAAGAGUCGUUACUAAGGCAAAAGGAGUAGGUGUACAAAGAAUGGAUUACAAUGCAGAUGAAGAUCUAACUGUGGAAACAAUUAUUGAAAGACGUGUAAAGAAAUAUUUCCUAGAGGAAAGAGUCAGUUAGGUUAAAUAUUUGCUUAAAGAUAUCCCAAGCUGAUGCAUAUCUGCAUGCACAAAACCCCAUGAUCAUACAUAGGGACAUCAAGCCUGAAAAUGUACUUGUUGCAAACGAGUUUCAUAUGUUGAAAUAAUGUGAUAUGGGUCUCAGGAAAAUAAAGACAACAAACACUAUUAUGACAACUGUGGCUGGGAUUUGUUUACAGCCUAGAACCUCUGCAUAUCAGGCACCAGAGAUCCUUCUUGAAAGACAAAGUUCAAAUGAAAUGACAGACAUUUGGAGCCUUGCAUGAACUGUAGUGGAAGUAUUUACUGAAAUGCCCGUCUGGAACAGCUCUGAUGAUCCAGUGCAGUACAUAAUGAGUAGAACUAAACUGAAGGCCACACCAGUUGCUUUAGAGUUACUUGCCUAAUUCGCAGAUACUGACUCUGAAAACGUUGAGAGUAAAAUCCACAGGAUCUUAGAUGAGGGACUGAGCAACAGUAAUGGUGGUAGACCUCAUGCUCUCCAAAUAGUUAGCUAUUUUCAUGACCUGUUAGACGACAAGGUCAUUGGGCAAUAAACUGAACUCUGACGUGCCCUUCAGCUAAACGUUGAGAGUAAAAUCUAAAGGAUCUUAUAUAAGGGAGUGAGCUACAGUAAUGGUUGUAGACCUAAAGCUCUCCAAACUGAACUCUGACGUGCCCUUCAGCUGAAAUAUGCCUUUUUUUUCAAAUAACCAUUACUUGGUCGGUUGAUAAUUGCACACAUUUUACUGAGCUGAACAUGCUAUCAGUAUGACAAAUCUGUUGUUUGUAAAUCUAUUUUUUUCAUUUAUUUUACCAUGUUAUACAUUUACAUAGACUUCAUUUACAUGUUAAUGCAUAACACAUUGGUAAUAUAAUAUAACAUAUAUGAAUCACU